rnacentral:rRNA from 1 species
GAUGAACGCUGGCGGCGUGCCUAAUACAUGCAAGUCGAGCGAACAGAUGAGGAUCUUGCUCCUCUGACGUUAGCGUCGGACGGGUGAGUAACACGUGGAUAACCUACCUAUAAGACUGGGAUAACUUCGGGAAACCGGAGCUAAUACCGGAUAAUAUAUUGAACCGCAUGGUUCAAUAGUGAAAGACGGUUUUGCUGUCACUUAUAGAUGGAUCCGCGCCGCAUUAGCUAGUUGGUAAGGUAACGGCUUACCAAGGCAACGAUGCGUAGCCGACCUGAGAGGGUGAUCGGCCACACUGGAACUGAGACACGGUCCAGACUCCUCAGGGAGGCAGAAGUAGGGAAUCUUCCGCAAUGGGCGAAAGCCUGACGGAGAAACGCCGCGUGAGUGAUGAAGGUCUUCUGAUCGUAAAACUCUGUUAUUAGGGAAGAACAAAUGUGUAAGUAACUAUGCACGUCUUGACGGUACCUAAUCAGAAAGCCACGGCUAACUACGUG